rnacentral:rRNA from 1 species
CGUCAAGUCCGCAUGGCCCUUACGGCUGGGGCGACACACACGCUACAAUGGCCGAUACAAACCGUUGCAAUCUCGCGAGAGUGAGCUAAUCGGAGAAAGUCGGUCUCAGUUCGGAUUGCAGGCUGCAACUCGCCUGCAUGAAGUUGGAAUCGCUAGUAAUCGCGGAUCAGCAUGCCGCGGUGAAUACGUUCCCGGGCCUU